AUUGAACGCUGGCGUCAGGCUUAACACAUGCAAGUCGAGCGAGCGGCGGACGGGUGAGUAAUGUCUGGGAAACUGCCUGAUGGAGGGGGAUAACUACUGGAAACGGUAGCUAAUACCGCAUACCAUCAGAUGUGCCCAGAUGGGAUUAGCUAGUAGGUGGGGUAAUGGCGAACCUAGGCGACGAUCCCUAGCUGGUCUGCGAAGGUGACCAGCCACAUUGGAACUGAGACACGGUCCCGACUCCUUCGGGAGGCAGGAGUGGGGAAUAUUGAACAAUGGGAGCAAGCCUGAUGCAGCCAUGACGCGUGUGUGAAGAAGGCCUUCGGGUUGUAAAGCACUUUCAGCGAGGAGGCGUUACUCGCAGAAGAAGCAACGGCUAACUCCGUGCCAGCAGCCGCGGUAAUUC
rnacentral:rRNA from 1 species